CAGUAGCCGCGGGAAAACGAACCGAGCGAACGUUAUUCGGAAUCACUGGGCUUAAAGGGUGCGUAGGCGGACUGUCAAGUCUGGGGUGAAAUCCGGCAGCUCAACUGUCGAACUGCCUCAAAUACUGAUGGUCUCGAGGAAGGUAGGGGCAUGCGGAACUGUAGGUGGAGCGGUGAAAUGCGUUGAUAUCUACAGGAACUCCGGUGGCGAAAGCGGCGUGCUGGACCUUGUCUGACGCUGAGGCACGAAAGCUAGGGGAGCAAACGGGAUUAGAUACCCCCGUAGUCCCUGUCUCUUAUAC
rnacentral:rRNA from 1 species